rnacentral:lncRNA from 1 species
CUAAAAGUUAUUUUUCUCAAAAUUAAGUCUCUAAUUUUAUUUUACUUAUAUUGAAACCAGCUAUCAAAUCAAGACAUACUUUUUUCACCUUGAUACGUUAAUCAAAGGUCAUAAGAAAAUUAAUGUUCUACAUUCUUAAACAAUUAAAUGUAGAGUUCUAAACUUGAUUAUUUGAUCAAGAUACCCUAUUUAUUCAAAGCAAACUUUCUGCUUUGAUUUGAUAUACGGAUGCUCCUUUUUGUUCAUAUCUUAUUAUUUCAGUAAUAAAUUAUCAAGAAUCCUGUCAAUGAAAACCAUUCCUUUGUGAACGAUUUUAGGAGCAUUGAAAGUGAUAUGUCAACUGCAAUGCUAAAUAUGAUUUAUUUAUACAAAUCAUAAUCAAAUUCAUUAAAAAAUUCAACUUAUAUGAAUAGCAUAAACCCUGUGUCUGCACCAACAACAGAAAUAUGUCAUUCACGUAAACUACAAACAAUCAAAUCUAUUCUAUCGAUCAAUCAUAAAUUUCAAAAUGCGUACCUUUAAUUGCAACAUAGAAUACACUCCGGCACAUCACCAAACAAAAUUUCAAAGAAAUCUAGCCGAUAUCUACACCAUUCAAAAUUGAAUAUUAAAUUGAAACUAAAUAAACAAAUAAAUAAAAUCAAAUAGAUGGGUGAGAGCUCAUAUUCUAUGGGUGUAAAAAUGGUCUGUCAUGCCGUGGCAACAGCAUUCAGUACGAGGAAUUACUUUAUAAUCAUCGCUACCCACCACAAAAUUUUCAACUUUACGAAAAAAUAACGAUCAUGAUCAUGUUAUAUCGUAACAGAAUCGAAUUAGAUGCCAAACUGGCAGAAAAUUCAAUAGAAAAUAAAUCAUAAUGCGUAAAGAAUAAUACAAAGAGGUGAGGCAGCGACAGGAUUUAUAGACAAAGAAGGGGAAUAGGGGACCUG